rnacentral:snRNA from 1 species
AGUCAGCUCAGAACUGGU